UACGUAGGUGGCAAGCGUUGUCCGGAAUUAUUGGGCGUAAAGCGCGCGCAGGCGGUCCUUUAAGUCUGAUGUGAAAGCCCACGGCUCAACCGUGGAGGGUCAUUGGAAACUGGGGGACUUGAGUGCAGGAGAGAAAAGUGGAAUUCCAAGUGUAGCGGUGAAAUGCGUAGAGAUUUGGAGGAACACCAGUGGCGAAGGCGACUUUCUGGUCUGUAACUGACGCUGAGGCGCGAAAGCGUGGGGAGCGAACAGG
rnacentral:rRNA from 1 species